rnacentral:rRNA from 1 species
UGACUUUACACAUGCAAGUCGAACGGUAACAGGUCUUCGGAUGCUGACGAGUGGCGAACGGUGAGUAAUGUAUCGGAACGUAUCCAAUAAUGGGGGAUAACUAAUCGAAAGGUUGGCUAAUACCGCAUACGCCCUACGGGGGGAAAGCAGGGGAUCUUCGGACCUUGCGUUAAUGGAGCGGCCGAUAUCUGAUUAGCUAGUUGGUGAGGUAAAAGCUCACCAAGGCGACGAUCAGUAGCUGGUCUGAGAGGACGACCAGCCACACUGGAACUGAGACACGGUCCAGACUCCUACGGGAGGCAGCAGUGGGGAAUUUUGGACAAUGGGCGAAAGCCUGAUCCAGCCAUUCCGCGUGAGUGAAGAAGGCCUUCGGGUUGUAAAGCUCUUUCGCAAGGGAAGAAACGAUGCAGUCGAAUAAACUGUGUUAAUGACGGUACCUUGAUAAGAAGCACCGGCUAACUACGUG